rnacentral:rRNA from 1 species
UACGUAGGUGGCAAGCGUUGUCCGGAUUUACUGGGCGUAAAGAGCGCGCAGGCGGUCAGAUAAGUCGAAUGUGAAAGCCCCCGGCUCAACUGGGGAGGGUCAUUCGAUACUGUUCGACUCGAGGGCAGGAGAGGGAAGUGGAAUUCCCGGUGUAGUGGUGAAAUGCGUAGAUAUCGGGAGGAACACCAGUGGCGAAGGCGGCUCACUGGCCCGGUACUGACGCUGAGAUACGAAAGCGUGGGGAGCAAACAGG